rnacentral:rRNA from 1 species
CAGUCGCCACGGUAAUACGGAGGGGGCUAGCGUUGUUCGGAUUAACUGGGCGUAAAGGGCGCGUAGGCGGGUUUUUAAGUCAGAGGUGAAAUCCCAAGGCUCAACCUUGGAACUGCCUUUGAUACUGGAAGUCUUGAGUCCGGGAGAGGUGAGUGGAACUGCGAGUGUAGAGGUGAAAUUCGUAGAUAUUCGCAAGAACACCAGUGGCGAAGGCGGCUCACUGGCCCGGUACUGACGCUGAGGCGCGAAAGCGUGGGGAGCAAACAGGAUUAGAGACCCCCGUAGUCCCUGUCUCUUAUAC